UACGUAGGGUGCAAGCGUUGUCCGGAAUUAUUGGGCGUAAAGAGCUCGUAGGCGGUUUGUCGCGUCGAAUGUGAAAUCCCGGGGCUCAACCUCGGGUCUGCAGUCGAUACGAGCAAACUAGAGUGUUGCAGGGGAGACUGGAAUUCCUGGUGUAGCGGUGAAAUGCGCAGAUAUCAGGAGGAACACCGGUGGCGAAGGCGGGUCUCUGGGCAACAACUGACGCUGAGGAGCGAAAGCUAGGGGAGCGAACAGG
rnacentral:rRNA from 1 species